AGUGCUUUGGGAUGCAGAAGAGGAACUGAAUUCUUGGCUUUCAAACUGUUUCUUGACGCUGGCCAGUCCACCUGGCAGAGAGCACGGCUCAGAGCUGUCCAUGACCUUAAAACACAAAAUGAAAUGUCUAUAGAUGGCUCUAAUGACAAGAUGAGGAAUGAUGUCAUAAAGCAUGCACGUCGUCCUCAUCAAUCAUGGUUUUCAAAGUUGGAUCACCCAAGACAUCAACACUACAAUCUGGUAAGGGUUGUACACAUAUAAGGUAUUUUACAGAUAUUACAUGGGAGGUUAUGAGGAUGCGAAAUAUAAUUUUCUGUCAGUCUGUCAGUAACAAUAUAGGAGUUUCAUUUUUAAUAUAUUGGUAUUAUCAAUAAUGAUACAUUUAUCUGUCAUCUAGUACUUUUUUAUAACACCAUAAAUGUAAUAACACUGUUAAAUAUAAUAAUUAGCAGAAAUUAAAAUUUUAAAUGAAAAUAAUUUUUGGCUCACCAGUAUUAGCAUGUAUUUCUGUAUCUGUGGUUGAUGUACAAAAUUCUUUAUAAUGGAAAUAUAAUUAUUUUGUUCUGAUUUAUACUAUAGUAAUUAUCCAGGUAAUACUAUAAUAUGGAAGCUUGUUUCCAUUAUGGAAUAAAAAAGUACAUUUUAAUUUUUUGCAACUUUUUUUUUAUCUCACAGUUCUGGCUUUUUCUAGCAGUUCUUGAGUUUAAAUCUCAGAAUUGUGAGAUGUAAACUUAAAAUUCUUAAAAGAAGAAAAAAAUCUCAAGAAAAAAAUGAAUUGUGAGUAUAAACUCAUAAUUGAGAGAAAAAGUCUGAACUGUAAGAUAUAAACUUUUUU